AGCGAACGCUGGCGGCAGGCUUAACACAUGCAAGUCGAGCGGGCACUUUCGGCUGUCAGCGGCGGACGGGUGAGUAACGCGUGGGGACGUGCCCGCUGGUCCGGAAUAACUCAGGGAAAUUUGAUCUAAUACCGGAUACGCACUCUUGGUGAAAGGCUUGCCGCCGGAGGAUCGGUCCGCGUCUGAUUAGCUAGUUGGUUGGGUAACGGCACAGCAAGGCGACGAUUGGUAGCUGGUCUGAGAGGGUGAUCAGCCACACUGGGACUGGGGCACGGCCCAGACUCCUACGCGAGGCAGCAGUGGGGAAUAUUGGAGGAUGGGCGCAAGCCUGAUCCAGCCAUGCCGCGGGAGUGAUGAAGGCCUUAGGGUUGUAAAGCCCUUUUAUCCGGGACGUUAAUGACGGUACCGGAGGAAUAAGCCCCGGCUAACUUCGUG
rnacentral:rRNA from 1 species